rnacentral:lncRNA from 1 species
CAAGUUAAUUCACUCAGUGCUCCAGGCAUCAACUUCAUAGAAGGAAUGGAAAUUCUACCUGUUUCCUAAAGAACUACAGAGGUGUACACCAAACGGAGGGCAAAUGCUGUUACCACUCAUCGUGCAAGACUUUUGAGGCAAUUUGGACAUAGACAAGUGAUGGGAAAAUUGAAUCAUUAUAUGGCUCAUGACAGUGUUGAAAACUCAAACAUCCAAGGACCUGUACCUUUGCUAAGUGCCAUGCAUAUGUUGCUGAUAAAGAUGCAAUAAAUACUCUUUUGUUAA